AUGAUGAUGGGGUACUUCUGGGCGCCGAGGAAGUCGGCGGCGGUGGAGAGGGACCAGAGCCUGCGGGCGGGGCUGCUCGUCGACGGCGGCAGCGGCGAGGCGGCGGCGGUGCCCAAGGGGUACUUUGCGGUGUACGUGGGCGCCGAGGCGCGGCGGUUCGUGGUGCCGAUGGGCUACCUCCACCAGCCGGCGUUCCGGGCGCUCAUGGAGCUGGCGGCCGAGGAGUUCGGCUUCGGCCAGGCCGGCGGGCUCCGCAUCCCCUGCCGCGAGGAGGACUUCGUCGCCAUCGUCGCCGCGCUCGAGGCCACGGCCGAGUCGCGCCAGCGCAGGCGGAGCGCCGCCGGCAGGAGGAGCAGGAGCAACGCCACACCAUGGUGA
rnacentral:rRNA from 1 species